CCAAUUUUAGGCAAUGUAUAUAUAAAAUGUUAAAUACAUAAUAAUUUUCAAAUCUAACUCUCAUCCCGCGCAAGGCGCGGAUCUUAUCCUAGUGUAGAUAUUACGAAGUAUGUCAAACUGGCAUUUGAAAUCUAACACAAAUGUGUAUAUUUGGCACUAGUCCUUCAAGUGUUAGUAGACAACAUAUAGGUCUACCGAUUCAGUUUUUCAUAUCUGCCAAAUCAUGUAAACACUACGCAAGUCUAUCGAAUUGGUAUUUGAAGUCUGUCACAGUUGUGUAGACAUGGAACAAGUCCAACGAUUUUUGCAGACAACAUAUAAGUCUACUGGUUAAACUUGUAUAUCUGCUAAAAACAUGUAAACUUUAUCCAAAUCUGUCAAAAUGGCAUUUGAAAUCUAACACAUACGUUUAGACUUGGUACUAGUACAUCGAAUGUUAGGAGACAACUUACAAGUCUACCCUUCAGAUUUUCAUAUCUGCCAAACACAUGCAAAUUUUAUGGAAGUCUGUCAAAAUGGCAUUUGAAGUCUAAACAAAUAUAUAGAUUUGAUACUAGCCCACCGGAUGUUAGAAGACGCAUACAAUAUAUAUAUUUUUAUAUAUUUUUUUUUGCAAAACAAAUCUAAUUUUAAUAUUUAUUUAAUUAACGUUCAUAUCGUUAAAUUAACUUUAUUUUAAGUAAGUAAAUUAAUUAUUUGAUUUAAUUUAUAUAAUGAAUGACUCGAACAAAUUAUUUGCAUAAGGGUAUUAUAGGAAAAAUUUCUUCUAGAUAUAAUACAAAAUCUAGGGUAUGAUUGGUGUUUAGGCUGUUGAGGCUUUUGUGAUUGUGUAAAGCCCUAAAAUUUGUCAAUCAAUUCAUUUAGACCGUCUCCAACCAAUAGAAACCAUGUAAGGUUCUAAAAAAAUAAAAAUAUUCAUAUUUUAAUUGUGCAAUUAAAUUUGAUAUUUUUUAAAUCAUUAAAAUGUUAGUUGCAUGACAUGUGGAUGAAAAAAUUUUAGAAGUGAUUCUAAAACAAGAGUUUUUAAAACCUCUUUUCACUCUCUCUCUCAAUUUCUUUUUUUAUUUCUUUAAUUUUAAUAAGAGAGUUCUGAUUGAAGAACUUCCAUUGGAGGUGGUCUUAGGCUUUAGAAAUCUGUAAAGCCCUAAAAGCCGAUUUUUAGAAAGAAAAAAAAAUUUGUUCACUGUUUUUAACAGCCACUUUGUAAGGCUUUGACGCUCUUUUUUCUUUAUUUUUUUGCAAAAAACGUGGAUGACUAUUUUUCUUCUGUCCUUUGUUCAUUUUUGACCAAAAUAAAUAAAACAAUAAGUAUAAUAAUUAAUAUAUUAAUUAUCAUUAAUUAGUUGGGUUUUUAACAUUAAGAAAAAGUCAUAACCUACUAUUAUUGGACAUUAGUUUAUUAAAACAUAGAAAUUAUUAUAAAGGUAAUUGAAAACAUUUACGAAUGAUUCAAAACCAAAAAAAAAAAAUACUAUUUUAAGAAUAUAUUUUCAGUAUAAAUACAAGAAGAAAACUCAUUUCAUCAAACACACAACCAACAUGUACAACAAUUCCAUUUGCUUUUCUUAUCAACAAUCAGUAUAUAUAUAUAUUUAGUUUUCUAAGUGUUACAUUAAAUUAUUUUAAAUCUUUUGUUUUUACAGAAAUGUCGUCAUCUUCUUCUCGAAAGGAAGAAGAUCACAUGGAAUGAUAACAAGACUCAUACAUUCCUUUAGAUUUUUGUAUCCGAGCAAGAAGAAGAGAACUGGAAAGAGGCUCUCUUUUCAAAAGAAGGAAAAGAUCGAUUAAUAGAUAAAUUUGAGCAAGCAACGAGAUAUAAAACGGUAUGGAAAACUUUAAGAAUCAUUAUGAUAGUCUGAAAACAUGGUACACUACAUACAAAAGGUUUAGCAAAAAAACUGGAGUACAUGUUAAUCAGACUACCAAUGAAAUCGAGAUGGAUUUGGACUGGUGGGACGAUCGGUGCAAUUUAUAGGAAAUUCCCGGGGCUAGUCAUAUACGAAACAAGCCACUUCAAGAUCUAGAUUUGCUGGAAAAAUAUUUUCAGAUGCGUACAUUGGAACUGAAGAUGGAUGGGCAGUUGGAAAUGGUCCUGAUGGAUAUGUGCAAGCAGAAGAUCAUGUGAAUGAUACCCAAACUGAAAGAGAUGACCAAGAAUCAUUUUUUUUUCUGAAACUCAAAACACCGGGUAUAACACCCCCACAAACAAAAUACCACCAAGAUGAAAACGUGAAAAGUUGAAAAUUUCAAUGGCAUAUGAUAGACGAUCCGAAACUAUUAGAGUUGCAGGAGAAGCCAUGGGUUCAGAUAGAGAAAGAGAGUACGUCGUGUACACCAGCUUUCUAAUCUUGAAUACAAUUCACAUUUCUCUUGGGAUGUUGUAAGCCUAAUUGAAAAUAGUGAGACGGCACGGCAGAUGGUUUUAGGAUUAUCAGACGAUGAACAUGUUCUCAAUUAUCUAAAACGAUCCAUCCAAGUGCAGAAAGAGCUGCCUCGUUAUCCAGACUUCAGCUACUUUGACGAAUGAUUUUAAUUUUUUUUAUUUAAUUGAACAAGUUUUUAAUAUUGUGUAUCUUAAAUACAGGAUAUAUCAUUGUUAUGGAAAAUACUUGAAGAUGAAGAGGGUGAUGAUUUUUUACUCGAAUCAAAAGAAACUGAUCAAAGAGUCAUGAGACCUUUAUGUUCAGAUGCAGACUGUGGACGAAAGUUUCUUCAUGAUAUGAUCAAUGGUCAUCCAACACAAUGCCACAAUAUGUUAAGGAUGUGGCCGGAGAUAUUAACUAAAUUAUGUAGUGAUCUCCAAGAUAUGUACGGAUUGCGUGAUACAUAUAAUAUGUGUGCAAAAGAAAAUGUGGCUAUAUUUUUACAUAUGUGUGGACACAAUAUAACACAGCAAACUGCAAUGCAUACAUUUGGUCAUUCAGCAGAAACAAUUUCCAGAAAGUUUCAUGAGGUACUUGUUGCACUUGUAUCAAUGGCCACUGAUAUGUUUGCUCCAGAUCUGGCGUCUCUUAUGCAAGUUCAUCCUAAAUUGCAAUCAAAUAAGCAUUAUUGGCCAUAUUUCAAAGGAUUUAUUGGUGCAAUCGAUGGAACUCAUAUUCCUGUUAUGGUGUCUGGAAGAGAUCAAAGAAGAUAUUGGAAUAGGCAUCCAUGAACAUCCUUGCGAUAUGCAACUUAGACAUGUUAUUCACAUAUGUUUAUGUUGGAAUUCCACGAUCUUCUCACGAUGCAAAAGUUCUUUCGCUUGUUAUCGAAGAUGAUACUAAUUUUCCUCAUCCACCCGAUGGUAAGUAUUAUUUAGGUGAUUCAGGAUACGCAUUACGUCGUGGAUUUCUUUGUUCAUAUAGAGAAGAGAGAUAUCACCUAAAUCGGUUCCAAAAUCAAGCAGAAGAAAGAAACUACAGAGAAGUCUGUAAUCGUUGCCAUUCAUCACUUCGGUCAGUGAUAGAAAGAACUUUUGGAGUAUGGAAAAAAGUGGUGUAUUGUGAAAGACGAAGCAAGGUAUAACAUAUCUACAAUACGAAAAAUUGUGGUGGCAACCAUGGUUCUCCAUAAUUUUUUAUUCGAAAAUCAAAUCUUGUGGAUCCUGAUUUUCAGUCAGAAGAAAAUGAAAACGAACAAACGACAAAUGAGGAAGAACUUCCAAAUACGAUGAAACAAGAUCCCAGUUCAAGACAAUACAUGGAAGGUGUUCGAGUUGAGAUUGCAAAUAGCAUAUGGGCUAGGAUCCGUUAAAUUUUAAUAAUUUUUUUUAAUAAAUUGUAAUCUUAUUUAAAAUAAUAAAAAAAAAAAAAAUUCUGCUAGAAUAAAUAAAUAAAAUAUAUUUGUUGCUAAUUUUUUACUGAUAAAUAAAAAGUAGAUAGAAAAAAAUAAGUAAUACAUUUCUGAAAUGAAUAUGAAAUAUAUAUUUAUAACAGUCACAGCUUAUAAAGCUUUUGAUGCCAAUCAAGCUUUUAAAAUUUUUAAAAUAACAGCCACAACUUUUAAAGCCAAAUUCUCUACAACCAUAUUUCUAAAGCCAAAGCCUAAAGCGAAAGUUCUUACCAAUCGGACCCCUAGAUAGGUUAUCUUAGUUAUUGUUUAUAUUUUAAGGGUUAUCAUAGCAAAUGUCCCUUUUUAUUGCAAAGAACACAUAACCAGUUUGAUACUAGUAUUCUUCAACAAAACAAAAAGAAAACCCACCAAUUUUCUUUUGUUUAAAGAAAAGAAAAACAUACACCAAAACAUUUUAGCAUUUUUUGUUGUAUGUUAAAAUAUCUUCUACUGGGGGGUGAGCGCGGCGAGUAGAUUAGUUAAUUAUUUGAAUUGAUAUUUCUUUUUAAUUUCAAAGUGAAAUUAUAUGUUUUGUAUUGAACAUUAUUUAUGUUAAAUAGUUUAAUACAGAAUUUCAAAAAAAUGAACCUUAAAAUCUUUGCAAUUAAGUAAAUUGCAUGAUAGAUAAUUUGUCUUCUGAUUUUCAUAAAAGUACUAUUCGCACUACAAAAUCACAAAAGAUUAAUCGUUAACCAAAAAGAAAUAUAUUUUGAUCGGAAAGAAAGAAUCGAAAUAAAGUAUUUAUUAAAAACACAAUCAAAUCAAACGUAUGUCAAACUGCAAACAAAUGGGACGUAGAACCUGAGGUGCCACUUCUAUCCUCAUACUGAAACAUGUAAACGCGAAGGUUGUUCUGAACAGAACAGUCUGAAUCAGAGGACUGAACAUUUCAGCUGCAUAUUUGGUCAGACACAUGAGAUCGGUGUCGUUGUUACUGAGCUCCCUUGAUCAAAGUAAUCAGAGAAUUUAGAAAUGAAAAGGACAUGAGAAGCUGUACUUGUAUUUCAUUGGUUUGGGGACAGCCUUUGCAAGAAGCACAACUAACCCAUAGAACAUCACUUCAUGUGCCAAUCUGUACAUAAAAGUCGGAGGAAAUCCCAACAACAGUUUCGUGUAGUAUAUAACCAUGUUCAGGACGAAGACGCUGCGACUAACUCAGCGACUGAAAUUUAAAGUGCAAUAUUGAAGAAUAUUUUUCUGCGUUUAGUCGCAGCGUUCAUUUCCAGUUAUAGAAAUGACAUGCUUUUGAUCGCCGAAUUUCACAGCGUCAUCUGUUUUGGAAAUCCGAAGUCAACUUUCAGUCGCUGGCGUCUAUUUCUCUCUCAUGGAUGUGCCACCAUGUCGUCGUUGGUGUCCAUUUCUUGUUGUUUGACGCUGCCGCAGUGUCUCGUUACGAACAGGGAAAUCCAAAAGAAAAUUUCCAAACACCAAACUGAACAGAAUACGACGAAACCAAAGAAACAACUUUUUUGAUUGAGACAUGAGAAAAAGAUGAUUCUCUGCUUUCAUGCGUUAUGUUCUUAUCUUCUGCUCAGAAACAAAUUUUUAAAAAAGUGUUUAAAGUUUUGAUUAAUGUGCUGCCGAUUAACGUAAUAACUCGCAGUAUUAACUGCAAUAAUAUUUUUCUUUCUCUUGUCAUAAUUAAAUUUGAGUUUUUUUAUUGUGAUUAAAAGUGGAUGGAUGAUGAGUUAAUUAUAAAAUAUGUUAUUAUCUUAGUCUUACACACAUUAUCAUUGUUCUUUUUAAAGUCAUUUUAAAUAUCAAACACAACCCACGUGCUGAGAGUUGCACUACAGAAAAUGUAGGUAUUAAUAGCAUAGUAGUAUAGCACUUUUUAACAUUUAUGCUAUUGUAUACCAACACUGACCUUUCUAAUAGUGUUUAUAAAAUUAAACGAUAUCUUUGUUAUCGCGGGAAAAUAAAAAAAAUUAGCCGCGUUAAUUUGCAAAGUGUAAACGCCUUACCAUUGCAGAUCCAAAAUUAACCGCUAUUGUAAAUUGACACAACACAUAAUUCAUUUUUCCCGCCAGAUACUUAGUGAAAAAACAAGUGUCUAAUCUUUUUCAUUUUCCUUCUCAUCCUCGUUUUUCACUUCCCUCUCAUUCCAUUUCGUUUCUCAACCCUCCAAAAAAACCUAAACCCAAGCUAAACCCUAAAUCUUAGACCCUAAACAUAAAACACAAUCCUAAAACUCAAACAUUUUCUUAUUUUAAUUAUAAAUCUUAAGUUUAAAUAUAUUCAAGUUUUAACCUUUUAAAAUUUUAAUUUCAAACAUUAAUCUAAGCCUCAAACACUAAAUUAUACACUUAUAUAUAUCAUACCCUAAAUUAAUCACAUCCCCUAAACUCUAACUAAAAUUCUUAAAAUUCUAUUUUUUUUAUUAAUUUAAAAAAAUUAAUAUUAAUUUCAAAUCUCAAAUCUAAUACUCUAACCCUAAACUUAAAUAUAUACCAUAACAAAAAUCAUAUACCCUAAAUCAUAUUACAUUUACUCUAAACUUAUAUUUUAAAACUCUAAUUUUUAAAUACAAAAUAAAUGUAAUCAAUAAUUUGAAUAUAAUUUAUUUUUUAUAUAUAUAAAAUUAGUUAAACAAUAAAUUAUAAUUUCUAAAACAAUUAUUAAUAAAAAUAGUUUUGGAUUGAUUAAUUUUCGACCACUGAUUGGUUUUAUUCCAAAGGUUAGAAGUUAAUCUUAGUUAAUCCUAUUAAUUUCUCUUUAUUGGUCAAUGAUUUGUGGCCAUUGAUUGUUUUUUGAUGAUAGGAGUUUCAAGGCUCUUAAUCAAAUGUUGUAGAAUAAAGGAUGUCAAACCAGUUCUAAGUGAUUCUAAAGCAAAGGGAAUGCAAGACCAUGCUUAAUCUAAGUACUAUCAAUUGGUGAGAUGAUUUUUGAACUAGAAUGAUACUAAAAUGCAAUAAAGGACAAAGUUUUCUUUCUUAUAAGAUAAGAGAACUCAUGAGCUAAAGGAGUUGACCUUGGGUGAUCAAGUUUCAAUUUAAAGAUGUUAACUUUCAA